rnacentral:rRNA from 1 species
GAUGAACGCUGGCGGCGUGCCUAAUACAUGCAAGUCGAGCGAACAGACGAGGAGCUUGCUCCUCGGACGUUAGCGGCGGACGGGUGAGUAACACGUGUAUAACCUACCUAUAUUACUGGGAUAACUUCGGGAAACCGGAGCUAAUCCCGGAUAAUAUCUUGAACCGCAUGGUUCAAUAGUGAGUGUCGGUUUUUCGGUCUCUUAUCGCUGGAUCCGCGCCGCUUUAGCUGGUUGGUAAGGUAACGGGUUACCAAGGCAACGAUGCGUAGCCGACGGGAGAGGGUGAUCGGCCACCCUGGAACGGAGCCACGCACAAGACUACUAAGGGAGGCAGCAGUAGGGAACCUUCCGCAAUGGGCGAAAGCCUGACGGAGCAACGCGGCGUGAGUGAUGAAGGCCUUCGGAUCGUAAAACUCUGUUAUUAGGGAAGAACAAAUGUGUACGUAAAUAUGCCCGGCUUGACGGUAACUAAUAAGAAAGCCACGGCUAACUACGUG